GCACUGCUGAGGAGUCCCAUAAUAGGACGAAACGGCUGUUGAGUAC
rfam:Schistosoma mansoni strain Puerto Rico chromosome 4, complete genome